AUUUCACCUUUAUCCAGUUUGCCAUUUUCUUAAGUGACUGAAAACAAAGACUAGUCCCAACCCUCCGCGAGUUGUUUACAUAACUUUCUUUGUCUCCGCUAGUAUUGCACAAUCUUGAGAAGCACAUGUUUGGAAAUCUGAUAUUCUUGCGGAGGGGGGGGGUUACAAGAUUGUCGCCCUUUUCAUUCUGUGUUGGGUUUGGCUGCUACAUGGCCUGUGUUGAGAAAUUAGGUCAGGGUAAAUUUAAUUGCAAAGAGAGGCUUUGGACGGCAUUCAUGAUGGAUAGUCUUUUUUUAAUGCAUCAUUUAAAUAAUUUCAACUUCACAUUUGCAGGCUUGCAGGUAUAUUGUAUGAUAAAAUUACUUUUCUCAGAAUUGUACGAAAGUUCUACAAAAACUUUAUCUUUUUACAUUGUAUUUGGACACGAAUGCAGAUCUUUCUUGACAAAUAAUGGGCUAAAAAUACUAAACAGUAAACAUACAGACCUCAAGUAAACCAAGUACCACACAUUCAAACUUGGAUUAAAUCAAAUCAGAUAUCAGUCAAGCACGGAAAUCACUCUAUCA